rnacentral:lncRNA from 1 species
GGAUUACAGCAAGGAUGAAGAUAGAUUGGGACUCUUAGUGGACUUCAUCCAUGUUGGACCUCUUAAAGUAGAGCAGUAGGAACAGACAGAAACAGUGUAGAAGAAGGACUUAUUCUCACAAAGGAUAUGAGUGACUAGAACUCUGGCAUAUGGUAGAUGCUCAAGAAGUAUUGUGGUAUGAUUCGUGACCUCAAUGGGUAGGACUGGAGAAAGAAAAGAGAUAUGACAAAACCAGGAAGGACAGAAAACUAAACAUGCGAAGCUGGAGAAGAUACCUGUGACAUGUUCAUCCCCAAAUGAUAGCAUUUGCGAUGCAACUCUAUGAUCUUCUGCUUCCUUGUUUAUAUAGAUGAUGAAUGUGUACAAAAUAUAACACAACUAACAGGAAAUGCUCACAGUUGGGAAAAUGUGCUUCAUGACUGAUAAAUUAGAUACCAGCUUCCAAAAGAACUACUAACAAUUUG